ensembl:lncRNA
GAAAUGAAAGGAUUUUAAAAAGCUCAUCCUUAAUAGUAUGGAGUGGGGUGGGGUUAGUCGCACACACACACACACACACACACACACACACACAGUGUGAAUGUGGACAGUGCUCUAACUCUGUGCAGAAGGGAGUGGAGGAGGAAGCGCUGCUAGCCAGCCUGUCACCUGUAUGUUCUCAGGAUGACAUCUGUGGGGGUGCCCCGUACACUGUGAGGCCCAGCACAGUGUGGGAAGAGACUGGGAGGAUCCUCUGCCAGAGGACCGAGGUAUCCUGUAUUGACUGCUGUCACUCAGAUCCCGCCACAUCGCUGGCUGGGGGCUUAAGGUCAUUAGAUGCGCAGGAUGAUAAUACCAGAAAGAUUCCGGAACUCUACUCGAACUUUGGACUUGCUCAGUUCACAGGGUCUGCAGCUUAGAGAGGGAGCUGCGGCUGUUGCUAAGUCGCUUCGGUCGUGUCCGACUCUGUGCGACCCCGUAGACGGAAGCCCACCAGGCUCCCCUGUCCCUGGGAUUCUCCAGGUAAGAACACUGGAGUGGGCUGCCAUUUCCUUCUCCAAUGUGUGAAAGUUAAAAGUGAAAGUGAAGUCGCUCAGUCGUGUCCGACUCUGUGGGACCCCAUAGACGGAAGCCCACCAGACUCCUCUGUCCGUGGGAUUUUCCAGGCAAGAGUACUGGAGUGGGGUGCCAUUGCCUUCUCCGUAGGGAGGGAGAGCUCCCUUCAAAACAGAGAAUUUCUCUGGAGGGCCGGUGGGACAGGAACCAUCUAACAUCAAGGCUGGUUUAUGAGAGUGACAAAAAUUUGGAAUCUGGGGAUGGGCAAGGAGUGGAAACAGCUGUCAAAAUUCCUGAGUCCCAAAGCCAUGGCCCAGUGACUCCAAAUGCCACUAGCCAUUCUGGGCAGAGAUAGUCUCCAAACUGAGUGCUCCUUGUUCAAGGGCCUCUGUGCUCUUAGGUCCCAGACCACAUAGCUAAGGGACUAAUAGCAGGCUGUGUCUGCUGAAGAGAAUCAUGAAGGUGAAAGGAGGCCCACAAAAUUCUGGAGAAUCAUUUCCUGCUU